rnacentral:rRNA from 1 species
UACGAAGGGGGCUAGCGUUGUUCGGAAUUACUGGGCGUAAAGCGCACGUAGGCGGAUAUUUAAGUCAGGGGUGAAAUCCCAGAGCUCAACUCUGGAACUGCCUUUGAUACUGGGCAUCUCGAGUAUGGAAGAGGUGAGUGGAAUUCCGAGUGUAGAGGUGAAAUUCGUAGAUAUUCGGAGGAACACCAGUGGCGAAGGCGGCUCACUGGUCCAUUACUGACGCUGAGGUGCGAAAGCGUGGGGAGCAAACAGG